rfam:Myotis brandtii contig205692, whole genome shotgun sequence.
AGGCCUGCAGAGAGAGAGGCAGGGUCUGAUCUGUAGCCUCUGUGGCAGCUUUUGAUCAGCACUUGCCUCUCUCUUUCUCUCCC